AGAGUUUGAUCCUGGCUCAGGAUGAACGCUAGCUACAGGCUUAACACAUGCAAGUCGAGGGGCAGCAUGAACUUAGCUUGCUAAGUUUGAUGGCGACCGGCGCACGGGUGAGUAACACGUAUCCAACCUGCCGAUGACUCGGGGAUAGCCUUUCGAAAGAAAGAUUAAUACCCGAUGGCAUAGUUCUUCCGCAUGGUGGAACUAUUAAAGAAUUUCGGUCAUCGAUGGGGAUGCGUUCCAUUAGGUUGUUGGCGGGGUAACGGCCCACCAAGCCUUCGAUGGAUAGGGGUUCUGAGAGGAAGGUCCCCCACAUUGGAACUGAGACACGGUCCAAACUCCUACGGGAGGCAGCAGUGAGGAAUAUUGGUCAAUGGGCGCAGGCCUGAACCAGCCAAGUAGCGUGAAGGAUGACUGCCCUAUGGGUUGUAAACUUCUUUUAUAAAGGAAUAAAGUCGGGUAUGGAUACCCGUUUGCAUGUACUUUAUGAAUAAGGAUCGGCUAACUCCGUGCCAGCAGCCGCGGUAAUACGGAGGAUCCGAGCGUUAUCCGGAUUUAUUGGGUUUAAAGGGAGCGUAGAUGGAUGUUUAAGUCAGUUGUGAAAGUUUGCGGCUCAACCGUAAAAUUGCAGUUGAUACUGGAUAUCUUGAGUGCAGUUGAGGCAGGCGGAAUUCGUGGUGUAGCGGUGAAAUGCUUAGAUAUCACGAAGAACUCCGAUUGCGAAGGCAGCCUGCUAAGCUGCAACUGACAUUGAGGCUCGAAAGUGUGGGUAUCAAACAGGAUUAGAUACCCUGGUAGUCCACACGGUAAACGAUGAAUACUCGCUGUUUGCGAUAUACAGUAAGCGGCCAAGCGAAAGCGUUAAGUAUUCCACCUGGGGAGUACGCCGGCAACGGUGAAACUCAAAGGAAUUGACGGGGGCCCGCACAAGCGGAGGAACAUGUGGUUUAA
rnacentral:rRNA from 1 species